UACUGACUUCAGCUUGGAGAAUACUGG
rnacentral:piRNA from 1 species